UACGGAGGAUGCAAGCGUUAUCCGGAAUUAUUGGGCGUAAAGCGUCCGCAGGUGGCACUUCAAGUCUGUCGUCAAAGACCGGGGCUUAACCCUGGAAAGGCGAUGGAAACUGAAAGGCUAGAGAGAGGUAGGGGUGGAGAGAAUUCCCAGUGUAGCGGUGAAAUGCGUAGAGAUUGGGAAGAACAUCGGUGGCGAAAGCGCUCUACUGGACCUCAUCUGACACUCAGGGACGAAAGCUAGGGGAGCGAAUGGG
rnacentral:rRNA from 1 species